CUGCCCAUUUCUGUGUUCUUUAUAACUUUUACAGCACUAAUUAAAAUUUCUCAUCUCUUCCGUCUACAGACUGAGCUCCCUGCUUUACCAGCAUUUAUCUUGGAAUGUAAAGUGACCUAUCUACUUUCCAUAUAUAUACUGCCAGUUGCCUCUCUUCCUUUCCUGUACCCCUCCUUUUCCUGACUCUUCAUUUCGACCUGAGACUUGGGGAUAUAGGACUGCCUUUCUGACUUACCCAGGAUCUUAUUUGAUGGCCUGAAAAGAAGUCUGAUGAAAUAGAUGUUACCUGAAGCUGAGUGACUUUCUCAGGGUCAAGCAAAUAAGUAAAUGGAGGAGUCAGGAUUAUAUCCCAGGAUACCCAUCACAAGGAGAGGAGGGCUACCAUCCCAGCUGCAGGCUCUCAUUCGAGGUUUAUGCUGCAGCCAGCAGUGUCCUUGGAGUCUAGUUCAAAGCUGAAGAGAGUGAACCAUGGAGCUGGGAGCCACUGGCAGAGGGGCUGGCCUGAAGGAAGGGAAGUGUUUCAGCCAGAAUGUACUGAUGUACGACCAGGAAACCACAAGACUGGUUUAGAUUAUUGA
rnacentral:lncRNA from 13 species